UUGAAUAAACCCUGGUCGGGUUGCUGCUGGCCUCUAGGGGCAUGUGCACGCUCGACCACCGUUUUCUAACCACCUGUGCACCUUUUGUAGACCUUGGUUUGGGGGGUUGCUGACGCUGUCAAAGCCGGCUCUCCCUGUUCACCUUCAAGGUCUAUGAUCUUAUACACCACAAAGUAGUAACAGAAUGUCUUUUGAGGGCCUCAGUGCCUUUAACUUUAAUA
rnacentral:misc_RNA from 1 species